UGGGAUCAUGCAGGUUAUCUCAGAUUUGC
rnacentral:piRNA from 1 species